CCUACGGGAGGCAGCAGUGGGGAAUAUUGCACAAUGGGGGAAACCCUGAUGCAGCGACGCCGCGUGAGUGAAGAAGUAUUUCGGUAUGUAAAGCUCUAUCAGCAGGGAAGCAAAUGACGGUACCUGAUUAAGAAGCACCGGCUAACUACGUGCCAGCAGCCGCGGUUAUACGUAGGGGGCAAGCGUUAUCCGGAUUUACUGGGUGUAAAGGGAGCGUAGACGGCAGCACAAGUCUGGAGGGAAAUGCCGGGGCUUAACCCCGGAACUGCUUUGGAAACUGUGCAGCUAGAGUGCAGGAGAGGUAAGUGGAAUUCCUAGUGUAGCGGUGAAAUGCGUAGAUAUUAGGAGGAACACCAGUGGCGAAGGCGGCUUACUGGACUGUAACUGACGUUGAGGCUCGAAAGCGUGGGGAGCAAACAGGAUUAGAUACCCUUGUAGUC
rnacentral:rRNA from 1 species